rnacentral:tRNA from 1 species
GCGAAUAUAGUUUAAUAAAAACAUUAGAUUGUGAUUCUAAUAAUAAGGGUUAAAACCCCUUUAUUCACC